rnacentral:lncRNA from 1 species
CACUCAGAUGCCCAGCGGAACACGUGGGGCCCCUGCGUCCCCCGCCCCCUUUCACAACGCUGGGUACCUGGGCACGGGGUGGCACUGACCGCCUCCAUGCAGGCUUGGCCCUGCCAGCCCCUGUGAACUCACUCUGAGAGGAGCUUGACGACAGACCGACAGACAGCGGAACACAACAAGCAACAAAAGCUGUAAAUAUUUUCUAUGUACCUGAACACAUGGCCAAUGGAAAAACAGGAGAACGUGGGAUAAAGGGGUGCUUUUUAAAGGACAAACUGAAAACAAGGACUGUGAAACAAUCUUAUUAAGAGACUUUGUGUUUGAAAUGAAGAUGGACGAUUCCCCCGGUGCUCAUCCCACUCUCUCCGACGUCCCUCCCUCCCUCCGUUUUCUUUUCAAUUUCCCUCCUGUGGCGGAGAGAGUGCCUGACCGUCUGUCUGUCUGUUUUGGACUUCUAUUGUAAGGUCCCGCACUUUCUGUAUCAAUGUACAUUCCAGCCUCCACCCCCCUUUGUCAGUUAGUCUGCCUUUCACUUCUUCCUCUCUUUGUCUAUUGUCUUCUCUUCUACACCGUUUAUUUGUUUUAUCUAGUGGCUCAUUAUAGCAAACAGAAAGCUUUUUGUAUAGAGAAAAAAUACAGAGUUAUUUUUAUUCCUCUGUGUAACAAAUAUCUGUGCACCGCUGCAGUGAUUCAGAAAAUGCUCUUCUGGGAGACCGCUUCACUGCCCCAGGAGGUGUAUGGACUGUAUGUGUGUGUCUGUGCUGUGUGUCAGUGGGAGAAAGGGGAGUGAUAGUGUGAAAGGAGUGCAGUAGUCUUCUGAGGUAGCCAGAGUGAGGUCUCACCGGUAGGUAGGACGUUAGCGGUUUAUUUUUCAAUAUCAAUGGUUAUUUGUAGAAAUUGUAAUUUAAUGUAUAGGUGGUUACUCCAGCUUUCUCCGGAAACAGGUUGUAUAUAUUUGCUUCUUUUCUUUCCUAUGCUUGUACAAUUGGCUCCCAUCCCAUUUUGGAAUCUGGUUGUAAAUACGAGCGCUCUUCUUGGCAAAGAUGAAUGUUUCUGUGACAAUAGCACUUUUUAUUUAGUUUUUCCUCUCUGGACUAUUCAGUGUAGUCUUUUUUAUUAUUUGUGUGUGUGUGUGAGUAUGUUUGUGCAGAGGAGAGAGACUCAAACACUGCACUGGUUGGCUAUUUUCAUGGUUCAUUAUAAUAAAUCACUGUAAUGACAGUUUUAUACCA